CUACCUGAUGGAAUGAUGAUUAACAGUUGUGCCCUUGAGCAGGUGGAAAUUAAAGAUUGUCCAUCUCUUAUUGGCUUUCCGAAAGGGGAGCUACCUGUCACCCUUAAGAAGCUGAUAAUUGAAAAUUGUGAGAAACUAGAGUCUCUACCUGAGGGAAUUGACAACAACAACACUUGUCGUCUUGAAUAUCUAAGUGUAUGGGGAUGUCCAUCUCUCAAGUCCAUUCCGAGAGGCUACUUUCCCUCCACACUUGAGACGCUUACCAUUUGGAACUGCGAGCAAUUGGAGUCGAUUCCAGGGAAUCUGCUGGAAAAUCUCACAUCUCUUCGACUUCUGACAAUAUGUAAUUGUCCAGAUGUGGUGUCCUCUCCAGAAGCGUUUUUGAACCCCAACCUUAAACGACUUUUUAUUUCAAAUUAUGGGAAUAUGAGGUGGCCUCUAUCUGGGUGGGGCCUCCGCACACUCACCUCACUUGAUGAGCUCGGGAUUCAAGGCCCAUUCCCAGAUCUGCUUUCUUUUUCCGGCUCUCACCCACUUCUUCCUACAUCUCUCACCUAUCUCGCGUUGGUAAAUCUCCACAACUUGAAAUCCGUAACCUCAAUGGGUCUCCGAAGCCUAAUGUCUCUUAAAAGCCUUGAAUUCUACCUUUGCCCUAAGCUCCGGUCUUUUGUGCCAAAGGGAGGGCUACCACCAACACUUGCAAGACUUGUAAUCCGGGAGUGUCCUAUUCUAAAAAAGAGGUGCCUCAAGGGCAAAGGAAAUGAUUGGCCCAAGAUUGGCCACAUCCCCUAUGUGGAAAUAGAUGAGAUUGUACAACAAUAACAGCUUCAAUCAGGUACUCCCAAUUCUUUGUAAUCUUCCAUCAAAGGUUCUACUUACUUAUUGCUGCUUUCUCUGUAAUAUUUGAGUCUCCCUUUUGUUCCGUAAUCAGGGGCUGCCGUGGUCGACAAUAAGUUGUGGAGUUUUGUGCUCAAAACCUCGACUCUCAUGAAUGUGCCCUUAGCUUUUUCCUUAUUUUUCCAAAGGAAGGUCCCUACCCUCUUCCAAAACAGAGGUACUUAUUAAUGCAUUGAAUUGUAAGUUUUGAUAGAACACAAUUUUCACCAUUUUCAACUAAAAAUAUGGCUUUCAUUUUCUGAUAAUGAUGGAAUUUGUGCUGCACAUUGAUGUAGAUGAAAGCAAAAUUUCUGGCCAUUGGUGCAGCUUAUUUGCAAGGGGAAAUAUCCUAAACAUGAAAGAGUUGUACUAAAUGCACCAUUCUUUUUUCAUUUCAGGGUUUACACUUGCAAUUCCAGUCUCCACUGUCAAUUGUUUUUGGUAAUCAGGUCCAAAAGUAGUUUUAAGGCCCUAUUAAAUUUGGCACCAACUUCAUUUCCUACCAAGGGAUGGUCAGUUUUAGGGCCCAACUUCAUUUCCUACAAAAAGCUAAACAGUUUUGUGCUCAAAAACUCACCUCUCUUGAUUGUGUUCUUAGCUUGUUCCUUAUUUUCUUAAGAAAGGCCUUCCUACCAUAGUUUAAUAACUGGAUAUUUGGCACUUUCGACUCAAAAUAUUGCUUUCAAUUUCCAAUAAUGAUGUCUUGUACAUAUAGGAUGGCAGGAAAAAGGAUUGAUGUAGAUAAAAGGGAAAUUUCCUGCCAUUGAUGCACCUUAUUCAUAUCUGCAAGGGGAAAUGCCCUACACAUGAAAGGAGCUGUAAUAAAUGCACCAUUCUUUUUUAAUCUUGGGGUUUACAUGUGAUUCCAGUUUCAUCUGUACAAUUUUUUGCUAAUCAGGUCCAAAAGAAAUUUUAAGGCCCUAUCAAAUGUGGCACCAACUUCACUUCCUACCAAGGGAUGGGCAGCUUGGCAAACUUGCAGAACCUAACCCACAACAAGAGGCCUUAUAUCUGGUGCUUCAUUUUGCUUAAAGCCAGUAUUCUAUUUCAAUUACCAUUAAUUAGUAGAAGGUAUUUCCGAUUUUGUUUUAGUUCUAUUUCAUUCCAAUCUAAAUUUGCAUCUUAGUAUCUUAAUAAAGCCCUUCUAUCUGAUUUUGUUUUGUACUUUAUUCACACAGGAAUUCUCCCUUACUAAACACCAAGGUUUUCUGGGAUUCUGCCAUCAGCUUGGAAAUAUGUAUUGCAAAAUGGGGGAGAGGUAUAACUUCUUUGUUGAUGAGAUUUUUUUCCCUUUUUUCUGCUUUUCCACUUAAUUUUUUUUGACUAAUUACAUGACAUUGUAAAUGCUGUUGGCCUAGACCCUUACUACUGGCAACUGGUAUGUCAAGCAGUUCAGGAUGCAGAGAAAGGGCAUAUAUCCAGGUUGUUCUCUUUCUUAUUCUCUCUCUUCUCACUUGUAUUGAUUUAAAAUGUGAUCUUUCAAAUUAAGGUCUUUGUAAGUAAGUUGUUGAAGGUAAAAUCCCCUAAUUGGGGCACAUGAUGAUUGUAACCUAGCCAGGUAAGGUGAUAUUUUAUUACUGUCUUUCUAGCUUUCACAUUUGCAUAUUUCUAUAUGGUUGCUUAGGCUUCUGCACCAGAAUUCUUUUGACUUAGUGCUACAUAAUUUUUUUUUAUUUUUAUCAUACUGUUUGCUACAAUGGGCAUGCUCUGCCCAUGUGAUACCAGAAGGUGAAGGUUGUGGAUUAGUAAAAGACUUGACCCUGAUGAUUCAUGUUACAAACUGAUGAAGAAGAGAGUCCACUAAUAUCUCUAGUUAGUCUUUGUAAAAUAAUUACUUAGGCCCUCUUCCAUAAUCAGUUUGUAUUUGGAGUCUCAUUUGUAUUUGGAGGCUCACUUCGUGUAGCAUUAAUCUGCCCAAUCUAAUAGGGAUAAAAGGCCGUCUUUCAUAAUCAGUUUAGGGUUGAAGAGAGGGCAAUUAUUGGUUCAAUCAACAUAGGGAAAUGAGAUUGAACCUCAUGCCCUCCACUUCCCACCUUUUCUUUUAUUUUUUAUUUUUUUUCUCUUUAUAUUGAACCUCAUGACCCUCUAGAAAUGCCUCUGAGAAUCAUGGCAAGAAAUUGGUGAAUUGUAAAGAAUAUUUGUGAUGGUAGGAAUGUUAAGAUUGUAGAAUUAAAAAAAUAAUCUGAUGAAUUUACAGAAGACGGAUUUGAUAAGGGGUGAAAUAAUUUCUGUAAGGGAAGGAAAUUGCCUAACCUUGAGAGGGAAGAGUGGAUCCUUUCCAUGCUAUGAGGAGUUUGAAAAGAGGGAAGAGUUAAAGAAACUGAAUUGACAACCCUUGGAUCCUCUUAAUCUGUAGAAUUUAAGGAGUAUGCAAGGCAAAAGUUAUUGAAUAGCAGGACGUGUAUUCUUUUGGACUUGAUAACAAUGAGAAGAAUUUUAGUGGAGGUAGAAUCAAUUAGGCCUGCCCAUGUGGCAUCUCCAGCAUUGCUUUGACUCUAAAGCUUUUUCAGAUUCUUCCUACUUCUUUUCCAUUCUUUGUCAUGUGUUUGGCUGCACCUGCAUGUUCUUUGUCGAUAUACAUGACAAAUAGUUAUGUUACUAGUGCUUUUCAUUUAGUGCUCCAAUUUAUAUAUAUACAUAUAUAAUCAGAAUUUAUUCCUUGAAUAUUAAUCUAUAAAGAAUCCAUAUACCCUUGAUUUUCACUUCUCUUUGCAUUCCGUACUUAUGCAAUCUGUAAUUAUUGUUGCAUUAGGGUUAUUCUUCAGGUGUUGAAGACAUGGAUGAGGUUCAUACACCAGAUUCUGACUAUAUUAAAUAAGCUAAAUCUUGGCAAGCAUAGGGGGCCACAAGUAAAUAGUUUUUCUUUCCAUUAAGAUGGUAUACACAAACACAUAUUUAUGUGUUGGUGUCUGAUUUUAUAAUUUUCCACUCCUUAUGUUAUAUAAUUUAUUUCCAGAUUAGCAUUUCACAAAUGCAUUGAUGAAGUUACAGAGAGCUGGUAUAAUAGGGGAGUUUGUAAGUAUUUUUGUAAAUGAGUUGGUAAAUUCUUGUCUCCUAAUUGUACUUUGUCUUAGUUUACUUUCUGUUUCUUAUCUUCUUUUUUGCUUCACAUUUGGUCAAUGGAGAAUAUCCUAUUGCAGUCCUUUUCCACAUAAAAGAAUUGCGAUGGUGUAAGGCCGAAUGAGUCCCAAGCUUCAACCCUUAUUGCAAGAAGAAUAGAGAAAGGACAUAUUCAUCCAUUGAAAGAUUCAUAUUUUCUUUUAAUAGGAGAAUGAGCAGAGAUCAUGUUUCCCUCCUUAUAUGACAAAUUUUGCUUCUACACCUUUGCUAAAUUUGAAAAAAACAAAAUUUUUUAAUUUUUUUAUAAUAAUUGUAAACUAAUUUCCCCAUUAUAUAGUGUGUAGCAUGGCUUAAAAGGUUCCAUUCUUGUGAAGUGAAAGAAAUACGAUCACCUUUUGCACUAUUCUUCAUUGAUUUUGGAGUAAUGCAUUAUAUAAAGUUUCAUCAAUGUUUCCAUGAUAUUUUAUGGUGAAUCACAUCCUUAAGACACAAAAAAGUAUGAUUUUAUUAUUAUUAUUAUUAUUAUUUAAUUUGUUCUGUUUUUGAUAUGAUAUGAGUUUUUUCUACUCAUUUUCCCCCUUUUUGUUUGGUAUGGGCAGGUGGUCUUAAUAGGGGUUCAAAGAUGUCUCUUAUUGGCUUUCUAGAAGGUGAGCUACCCACAUUGACCCACCACCAACACUUGCAAGAGUUGUAAUGGGGAGAUGUCAUAUUCUAAAAGAGAGGUGCCUCAAUGACAAAGGAAAAUAUUAGCCUAAGAUUGCUCACAUCCCCUAUAUGGAAGUAGAUGACAUUAUAAAACUACAACAAGUUCAACCAGGUACUCCUAAUAUAUGGAAAUAGUUGUGCCCUUGAGUACCUGAAAAUUAAAGAUUGUCCAUCUCUUAUUGGCUUUCCGAAAGGGGAGCUACCCGCCACCCUUAAGAAGCUGAUAAUUUUAAAUUGUGAGAAGCUAGAGUCUCUACCUGAGGGAAUUGACAACAACAACACUUGUCAUCUUGAAUAUCUACAUGUAUGGGGAUGUCCAUCUCUCAAGUCCAUUCCAAGAGGUUACUUUCCCUCAACACUUGAGACCCUUUCCAUUUGGGACUGCCAGCAAUUGGAGUCGAUUCCAGGGAAUAUGCAGCAAAAUCUCACAUCUCUUCAAGUUUUGCAAAUAUGUAAUUGUCGAGAUGUGUUGUCCUCUCCAGAAGCGUUUUUGAACCCUAACCUUGAAGAACUUUGUAUUUCAGAUUGUGAGAAUAUGAGGUGGCCUCUAUCUGGGUGGGGCCUCCACACACUCACCUCUCUUGAUAAGCUCAUGAUUCAGGGCCCAUUCCCAGAUCUGAUUUCUUUUCCCAGCUAUCACCUUCUUCUUCCUACAUCUAUCACAUGUCUCCGGUUGGUAAAUCUCUACAACUUGAAAUCCAUAGCCUCCAUAAGUCUCCGAAGCCUCAUCUCUCUUAAAAGCCUUGAAC
rnacentral:lncRNA from 1 species